GAGAGAACGCAGAGGGAGGGAGGCAGGGAGGGAGACCAAACCCCCGCUUUACUGCGUUGAAAGCUUCUGAAUUUCAAGCAGAAAGUAGAAGGAGCUCCAAAGGCAGUGAGCGUCUUUCCUUGGGCUGCGUGUGCCGAGCGUAGACAAUGAAAAUCUUCAUCCCCCUCCCCCAUUCUACUAGGCUACAAGAUUCUUGUUUUCGUUCCUUCUCACCGGUGGAAGAUGUGUAAAAUCAAAGAUGUAGAGGUGUGUAGUGAUUUUUUUAAAAGCCAACUAACCACCGCACGGACUGCGACGCGGAUUACCCGAGCGCACGCCGGCUGGGCGCAUUCUGGGGUCUCUGCGCAAGACCAGCUCUCAGCUCUCUCUCCUUUCCUCGGACUCUGGAGCGGGAGCGGGCCUUUCCCUCGGGUCGACCACGCCGUAGGGGACGCCGUGAAAAGAGCCGUCGCGCCCGCUGCCUCCUGCCCGCUGCGCAGAGGGCUCCGCCCGUAGAGGUCAACUUCCCUCACCCUUUUCUCUCUCCUGCUUGCCCUCCCUCCGCCCGGCCCAGGCGCUUCCAGCCCCAGACUGUGGCCACUGGCUGAGGAGUGCGAGUCGGCUGCGCUGCCCUGAGCCUAAUCCCUCUUCCGGGCCCAGACCCGAGGUCCGCGCUCCUGGGCAGUGGGGAAGCUUUAGUGAGCAGGCUUUUCUCUCCGCAGCAAACUUGUAGCCAGACCAGAUGGGCCGCCCAGCUCUCUCGGGACUAGGCAGGUCUGAAAUUAAAGCUUCUCGGAAUAAUUUAGGAACAGCUUGACCCGUUGAGAUACUCAAGGACAACCCUCCAGGGAAAUAGUAUGUUUCCUUCCUGGGAACAAGAUGCUAGCGCGGUGCACCGGGAGGUAUCUGGUGUCAACAAUGCCAGAGCGCCCUCUGCUGCCUCAAAGAGGCAGGACACCAGUUACAAAAGCCAGAUGGCACAGUGGCAAUAAGCGGAGGAAACAUUAAGCUCUUAGAAACGUUUAAUCUGUGAAAUUUAAAAGCUCUCAUCAUAUUCUACUUUUGAAAGGGCCACCUGAUUUUGAUUUUGAGCACUCCUUGGAUGUUAUCUUCUAUUCUGGAGGAUAAUGAAAAGUCCGUGUUUUGAAGUUUUCAGAUUAUUUCUGUAGUUAUAUUUCUCCACUCUUUCUCGAAUUUUAUAUGGAAAUACGAAAUUGCAAAUCUAAGUGAAAAACCUUUGUGUAAAACAGGUGAGUGGAGAAGACGUCCUGGUUUCUCCAAAUAACUAAGAUCUAAUAAAGAAACAAAUCUUAAUUAAAAUAAAGAUACCGAGCACAUGUUGUUGUGUUAGUUUAAAACGAUAAUAAAAAGAAAGAAAUUAAGUCUCGAUGUAAAUCAUUGUUUUGUUGUUUUGUUUCAGUGAUUAACCCAAAUUUUGACCAGACUUGAAGUUUUGAAAUAAGAAAGUGAAUUAUUUUAAAGAAGAAGAAAAAUUUGCUUCUUAUUAAUAUGUACAAUAUUUUUGCCCUUAAAACCUUUGCAAUACAUUUAUACACACACACUCAGCUUGCAAAGCCUUCUUUAGAAAAUAACCCACUCUGAGUAGAAGUAAUGAGAUAUGGUAGCAGCAUGGGCAAAGCCAUAAGAAACGUUAUUUGCAUUAAAAAUGAGUUUUUCAGUAUGGAAAAUCAAUUACCAAAUGAAAUAGAGAUUUUUUUUAAAGGUUCAAACCUUUUCAAAUUUUUAUGUUAUAGGGUUUAUAUUGAUUAAAAUAAAUGUACGUUUGUAGUUAUUCAACAUUAUGAAUUUCAAGAUGGCCACCUAUUUUGAAACGCACACCUUUGCCAUGAAGUCUGUUGUUGCAUAUAUUAGUGCUGAUGUAAUAAAAUGCUUCUAUUAACUAUGUGGUUGUUAAUAAAUCUUGUAAAAAUAAA
rnacentral:lncRNA from 1 species